UUUCGCGGUGAUAAGAAGCUUGGGAAUGUGUGCGCCAGGAGCUUCAUCCAAACAUCUGAAGUCAAGUGUGAAGUCAUCUUGUUUUUGAUGUUUCUAGAGUUAGUUUAUGCAUCUUUGAAUUCUUAAACAUCCUCUGUAAUAUGUUGGUUGGUACUAUAUCAUAGUUACAUUUACGGUAGUUUUACUGUAACCUUAUAAACUUUAAACUGGGGGCUUCAAUCAGAAACAUAUACUCCACUCCCGAUACAUUCACGCGGAAAAAUUUGUUGUAAUUAAAUAGCAAUAAAAGGGAUCAACACAAAGUAAUGGCUACAAGACUUACAACCAUUCGGAUAUCAACAGACUAUAAACAUGGUGAGCAUUUAAGUAAAAGGCUCCAUCUCUACUCGUAGAGAUAAACAGCAACAGCAACAACACCGAUGAAGACGGCAACAACAACAGUAACAACACCACCACCAACAACAACAGUAAGAACAUCAAGCUAUACUUGUUCGUUCACACCAACUAAAAGUUGUGUCAUCUAGUUGACAUGAAACUUGAACCAAUCUGAGAAAAUGAAUCAAAAUUGGAAUUAGAUAAAAAAAAAAAAAAAAAAAAAAUGAAGUGGCAAAGCCAACGUAAUAAACACCUGCCUCCUUAAAUUGGAAGUACUUAAAUUAGAAAAUAUCAGUAAAUUAAUGUUCUGCUCCUACACAUAGAAGUGUGUUGAUAUUCACUGAAGAUGACCUUGCUAAAUAGUUAAUUGAAAAGAAUUGAAGAAAAAAAAAACCUCUUAAGCAGUUGGCCAGAAGAAUUUGGCAUGAUAAUUAGAAUAAAUAUGAAGAGCUUCUUUGCAAAGUCAUUCUUUACUGAUAUGGGUGGCAGAUUCAUCAUCACAAGAUACACAACCCGCAUUAUGACGUCACUAAACUGAACUACAGAAACCAGCAGUCAAGUUACUAUUAUAACAAUGUGGUCACUACCUGGAAUUGGACUCGGAAUCUUGGGGUUAGUAGCCCGCGCUCUUAACCACUACACUACAUGCACGCGGGCAUAUGGCGCAGUGGUUAAGUGGUUAAUAAUAAUAAUAAUAAUAAUUAUUAUUAUCUUGCAUAUCUAAGCCGGACUAUAAUAGAAGACUUUCCUAUGGUGCUACGCAGUGGGAUGAACUCAAAACCAUGUGAUUUGGAAGCAAACUUCUAGCCACACAGCCACGUCUGCAGUAUAUUGCAUUGAAACAAAAACACAGUUAACGCAGCACUGA